GGAGUAUAGCUCAGUGGUUAGAGCACCCGCAUACGUAUCGGAAUGUCGGGGGUUUGACUCCCUCUGGCUCCA
rnacentral:tRNA from 1 species